AAAGUCGUAACAAGGUAUCCGUAGGUGAACCUGCGGAUGGAUCAUUAACGUCAUUGAAAAUAGCGGACGAAAGUCUGUUACUUUUUAAUAAUGUACACCCUUGUGGUGAAUAUAGGAAAUUUUAGUAAUGGUUAUUGGUAGGCAUGUCUUUUAGAUGUGUAUGCCGAUGCUAUUAGUAUUAAAGACACUAUUAUAUUUUAAUUAACUAAAGUAACCUUGUGAAUUAAAUGUUUAUUAACUUAAAUGUUUUUAUUACCAAGUAAAACAACGAGUAAUCUUAUACAACUGCUAGCAACGGAUCACUCGGCUCUC
rnacentral:misc_RNA from 1 species